UGAUUGAAACAUUUGAAAAAAUUCUUAAGUGAAAAUUGCUGAACAACCCUUUUCUUUUUUGUUGUACUACUACUUCCUUUUAUAGGACCAUAUAACUUACCAUAUAACUUACAAUGUGUAACAUAACAGAAUUAUAAACAUGCCAUAGACCAAAUUGAUAAGAAAAUGAAAAUGAAUUUAUCUAAGCUACUCUACCCCCAAAAAGGCCAAUCCAAACUAGUUUG
rnacentral:misc_RNA from 1 species